GAUGAACGCUAGCUACAGGCUUAACACAUGCAAGUCGAGGGACCGGCGCACGGGUGAGUAACACGUAUCCAACCUGCCCUUUACUCGGGGAUAGCCUUUCGAAAGAAAGAUUAAUACCCGAUAUAAAGGAUGGGGAUGCGUUCCAUUAGGUUGUUGGUGAGGUAACGGCUCACCAAGCCUUCGAUGGAUAGGGGUUCUGAGAGGAAAGGCCCCCACCUUGGAACUGGUGCCCCGUCCAAACUCCUACCGGGGGGAGGAGGUGAGGAAAUUUGGCAAUGGGGGCUUAUCUGGACCCACCAAGUAGCGUGAAGGAUGAAGGCUUAUGGGUCGUAAACUUCUUUUAUAUAAGAAUAAGUAUUAUAUGAAUAAGGAUCGGCUAACUCCGUGCCAGCAGCCGCGGUAAUAC
rnacentral:rRNA from 1 species